rnacentral:rRNA from 1 species
CCUACGGGAGGCAGCAGUGAGGAAUAUUGGUCAAUGGACGGAAGUCUGAACCAGCCAUGCCGCGUGCAGGAAGACGGCUCUGUGAGUUGUAAACUGCUUUUGUACAAGAGUAAACCUGAAUACGUGUAUUCAGCUGAAAGUACUGUACGAAUAAGGAUCGGCUAACUCCGUGCCAGCAGCCGCGGUAAUACGGAGGAUCCAAGCGUUAUCCGGAUUUGUUGGGUUUAAAGGGUGCGUAGGCGGAUUGAUAAGUUAGAGGUGAAAUGUCCGGGCUUAACUCGGGAACUGCCGGUAAUACUGUUGAGCUAGAGAGUAGAUGCGGUAGGCGGAAUGUAUGGUGUAGCGGUGAAAUGCUUAGAGAUCAUACAGAACACCGAUUGCGAAGGCAGCUUACCAAUCUAUAUCUGACGUUGAGGCACGAAAGCGUGGGGAGCAAACAGGAUUAGAUACCCCUGUAGUC